UGGUCAAGAGCUAUUUAUGAGUUAGUUAUGUAAAGUCAUGCCUUAAAUUUUUAACUCUUAAAAAUAUGAAUUUAUAUUCCUACUAACUCAAAGGAUGUAUCACAAACACAAUGUACACAAUGUGAUAGAAGAAUAACCAUUUUAUUCAUUUAUAGUCAAAAUUACAAAUUUACCUUUAGAUCUGUAUAGGAAUGUGUCAGCCGAUCUGGCAUCUAGGGCAGACAUCUAACACAAAGAUUGAUGAGCAAUAGGGGCAUCAAUCAAGACACCUAGGCUUGAUUCGAGGAACAGUUGAGCUUUGGUAAGAAUCUUUAGCACAGUGAUUGUACGACUGGUAGUCACCUAAGCUUGGUCUGAGAAGUAUAGGGAUUGUAUAACUGAUGGAUUGCAUAAUUGAUGGAGACUCGGAUGUACCCUUGGGUGUAGGACUGCUUCAGGGUAUGCCAUAGUCGAUGAAGGCAAGGGGCCACUACGUAGGAACCAGAUCUAGGGUUUCAGGAUUAGAUCUUGAAACUUUUUCAAGAUCAUACAGUGGAAGACUAAAAUAAAUCAAAAUUAUUUUUUAAAAUCAAAGAAUCCCUAGAUCUAAGAUCCUAUUAUAUGAUUAUUAUAUAGCAUUAAAUCAAAAAUUAAAAUAUAUAAAUAUAGCAUGAACUACAUGUUGAUCAUAUCAACAUGUUUCUAUACUACAUCUAAUGUAUGUAUUAAACAAUAGAUCAGAUUUAUUACCUUGUAAGUUAGACGUUCUAACCUCGCUGAUCUGGGUUUGAGGAUGAUGUUACAAGCCGCAUACGCGUCCGGCCUCUAGGAGUCGUCCACACGAGCCCACGAAUCUCGAUCAGAAGUCUUGCUUCAGGAAAUCAGCACAGUAUGCUAGUACUGCGCUGAUCCUUCUUUGAUGGUUGAUCAGGUGCCUCCUUCUUCUUGAUUUGGACUCUUCCAAAGAUGAAAAGUAGAAGGAAGAGUUUCAGAUCUGAGACGCUCUCAGGAAACUCAAGAUGGAGGGAGGAAAGAUAUGAAAACAAACAACCCUAGAAGAAGACCCUCUUCUUCUUCUCGUUUCUCUCUCUAGACACCC
rnacentral:lncRNA from 1 species